CUUAGUGGCGAACGGGUGAGUAACGCGUGAGCAACCUGCCUUUCAGAGGGGGACAACAGUUGGAAACGACUGCUAAUACCGCAUAACACAGGAUGGGGGCAUCCCUGACCUGUCAAAGAUUUAUCGCUGAAAGAUGGGCUCGCGUCUGAUUAGAUAGUUGGUGGGGUAACGGCCCACCAAGUCGACGAUCAGUAGCCGGACUGAGAGGUUGAACGGCCACAUUGGGACUGAGAUACGGCCCAGACUCCUACGGGAGGCAGCAGUGGGGAAUAUUGGGCAAUGGGGGAAACCCUGACCCAGCAACGCCGCGUGAAGGAAGAAGGCUUUCGGGUUGUAAACUUCUUUUACCAGGGACGAAGACGUGACGGUACCUGGAGAAAAAGCCACGGCUAACUACGUGCCAGCAGCCGCGGUAAUACGUAGGUGGCAAGCGUUGUCCGGAUUUACUGGGUGUAAAGGGCGUGUAGGCGGAGCUGCAAGUCAGAUGUGAAAUCUCGGGGCUUAACCCCGAAACUGCAUUUGAAACUGUAUCCCUUGAGUAUCGGAGAGGCAGGCGGAAUUCCUAGUGUAACGGUGAAAGCGUAGAUAUUAGGAGGAACACCAGUGGGCGAAGGCGGCCUGCUGGACAACAACUUCCGCUGAGGCGCGAAAGCGUGGGGACCAAAACAUGGUUAGUUACCUCGUUUGUCCUCGCUGUAAACGAUGAAUACUAGGUGUGGGAGGGCUUACCCCUUCCGUGCCGCAGCUAACACAAAUAAGUAUUCCACCUGGGGAGUACGAUCGCGAGAUUGAAACUCAAAGGAAUAGACGGGGGCCCGCACAAGCAGUGGAUUAUGUGGUUUUAAUUUGACGCAACGCGAAGAACCUUACCAGGAUUUGACAUCCCACUAACGAAGUAGAGAUACAUUAGGUGCCCUUCGGGGAAAGUGGAGACAGGUGGUGCAUGGUUGUCGUCAGCUCGUGUCGUGAGAUGUUGGGUUAAGUCCCGCAACGAGCGCAACCCCUAUUGUUAGUUGCUACGCAAGAGCACUCUAGCGAGACGGCCGUUGACAAAACGGAGGAAGGCGGGGAGGACGUCAAAUCAUCAUGCCCCUUAUGUCUUGGGCUACACACGUAAUACAAUGGUGGUAAACAAAGCGAAGCAAGACCGCGAGGUGGAGCAAAUCACAAAAAGCCAUCCCAGUUCGGAUUGCAGGCUGCAACUCGCCUGCAUGAAGUUGGAAUUGCUAGUAAUCGUGAAUCAGCAUGCCACGGUGAAUACGUUCCCG
rnacentral:rRNA from 1 species